CCUACGGGUGGCAGCAGUGAGGAAUAUUGGUCAAUGGGCGCGAGCCUGAACCAGCCAAGUAGCGUGAAGGAUGACUGCCCUACGGGUUGUAAACUUCUUUUAUAAAGGAAUCAAGUGAGGCACGUGUGCCUUUUUGUAUGUACUUUAUGAAUAAGGAUCGGCUAACUCCGUGCCAGCAGCCGCGGUAAUACGGAGGAUCCGAGCGUUAUCCGGAUUUAUUGGGUUUAAAGGGAGCGUAGAUGGUUUGUUAAGUAAGUUGUGAAAGUUUGCGGCUCAACCGUAAAAUUGCAAUUGAUACUGGCAGGCUUGAGUAUAGUUGAGGUAGGCGGAAUGCGUGGUGUAGCGGUGAAAUGCUGAGAGAUCACGAAGAACUCCGAUUGCGAAGGCAGCUUACGAAACUGCCACUGACAUUGAUGCUCGAAAGUGUGGGUAUCAAACAGGAUUAGAUACCCUUGUAGUC
rnacentral:rRNA from 1 species